GACGAACGCUGGCGGCGUGCUUAACACAUGCGAGUCGUACGGUAAGGCCCUUUCGGGGGUACACGAGUGGCGCACGGGUGAGUAACACGUGAGUAACCUGCCCACAACUUUGGGAUAACGCUAGGAAACUGGUGCUAAUACUGGAUAUGUGCUCCUGCUGCAUGGUGGGGGUUGGAAAGCUCCGGCGGUUGUGGAUGGACUCGCGGCCUAUCAGCUUGUUGGUGGGGUAGUGGCCUACCAAGGCGGCGACGGGUAGCCGGCCUGAGAGGGUGACCGGCCACAUUGGGACUGAGAUACGGCCCAGACUCCUACGGGAGGCAGCAGUGGGGAAUAUUGCACAAUGGGCGCAAGCCUGAUGCAGCAACGCCGCGUGCGGGAUAACGGCCUUCGGGUUGUAAACCGCUUUCAGCAGGGACGAAGCUUUUUGUGACGGUACCUGCAGAAGAAGCACCGGCUAACUACGUG
rnacentral:rRNA from 1 species